UUUUAUUUUUAGCUGUAAAGUUCGCGCGACGACAUCUCGUGGGAAAGAUCGCAAAGUGCUCUCAAUUCGAGGCGAACACAAUCACGGGAUAAUUACUGAACGUCGGAAAAGCGGUGCCUUGAAGGCUCUGCUGGAACAACGCAAGAAAGAGCGCGAUGAACGACGAAUGAGAUUGGGUGGAGUCUUUUCACCAGCAGUCUAGAAAAAUAUGUUUGAUUAACAGUGCGAGAAUAUUAUGAACUUUAUAAUCUGAUUUCAGUAAUAGAUUUGUUGGUGGUUUCACCUCUCCUUAACUAUUUUGACAAUCUCAAUAAACAAUUUGUCAUUUUAAAUGAGCGUGAAAAGGUUACCAAAGAGUUGCGACGAAAAUGAUUUAGUAUUGUGCAACUGGUAGUAAAUCCUUUGAAAAUGUCAAGACUAAUGCGAUUGAUUGAUUGUUGUACUAGAAUACGUUUGCAUUAUUUUCGUUUUUCAGUGUUUUAUACGGAUGAACUAAUCUUAAAUGCGCUAUUUGUCUAUCCCGCCUACUCAACGUCCGUUGAAAUCUAUCUCCUUACAAGAACAUUCGAUCCGCAUUCUAGGGAUGGUGACGUACACUACAAGCCGUCGAGGUCGUCGACAGAUCUGCUACUUCGGACACUCAUUCGAGAUGGAAAAGGAACGGAAAGGGUCCACCAGCUGGCGGUGCGGUCAGGCAAAGCCUCUUAAAUGCAAGGCCAGAAUUAUCGAGCGCAUUUCAAAGUACGGCGACCCAAUGUAUGAAAUUGUGCGUUCGACGCAUAAUCACGACAUUAUAACUGAGAGGAGGCGACGAGGGUGGUUGAAAGGUUAUAAUGAGCUAUCAAUAAUGAAAAAAGAAGAACAAUAAAUCCACAGUUCCUUGGCAUGUAAUCUAGUACUACUUUUUGGAAUUAAAUUGUUACAAUGGACUCAAGUAGUACAUCACUACAAACCUAUUUUGGCGAGUAAUCUAGUACAACUCAUCUAUAUAAUUUAGAACUAUUUCGGCUGGCUUUAAAGACCUGGAAUUACAAUCUAGUACAACUAUACAGCUCAAUGUAUAUUCCAAUAGCAACAAAAUAAUCAACUUUUGAACUAUUAUAGGACACUGUUACGGUUCGGCGUAGUACUCAAUCAGCCUCAAAGGCUCCCUGCAGUUGAUGGUGCAGGGAUUUCCGUACACUCGCCAUAGCUGCAAGGGCGGCAAGGUCUACUGGCGGUGCGUGCAGUUCAAGUCACUUGGCUGUCGGUCUAGGGUUCGUACUCACCAGGAGCUGAUCGAGUCGAUAGAGUACGAGCACAAUCACGAUCGAAUGUUGGCCAGGCGUAAACGAGGAGCUUUGAAGCAGUUGAUGCAAGAGAGGAAGCGCGAGAAAUCUCUAGUUGCCCUGGAUCAGUGUGACUUGGUUGAACUUGACUGGGUUGAAUAAAAGUUUCUGUUGCUAGAUGACCUUGCUGGAUUGUUAAUGUCAAUAAUAACUCUGAAAAAAAAGUGUGACUGCAGAAUGUGAUUGAGUUUUGUCUUUCAGAACCCGUCUCAUUGAUACAGGUGAUAGCUGUAGUACCAGACGAACCUCAUCCCUAUAGCUAUAACUAUCGUGGAAAUCUUGUGUAUGAUAAGUACACCUUUUCCAAAACGGCGGCUCACGGGACGGGCAACAUUGUCUACUGGAGGUGCACGGGCUAUCGUAAGCAUAAGUGCAGAGCUACAUUGAAAACGCGAGGCAAGGAGUUGAUCGUGGUUCGCCAGGACCAUAACCAUGAGCCCUUCGUGAAGGGAAGCGUUUUCACUUCCGAUUUGCCAAUUUGGAAGGAAACAACGGGAUCUAACGCUCCUUAAAAUUUACUGUUUUAUUCAUUGCUAUGAGGCCACAUUGGAAUUUACCUAAUAAUAAUUACAAGAACAAUAUAUUACACUUUUGCAAACAAUAAUCUUCAUUGUUUUUCUACCAUACCAUUAAUAUAAUCUUGCGUUCUAGUACUGCACAACUUCAUACUAACGUUACACUUGUAUUCCUCCAGGAAAACUUCUGUCGAUUUCGACAAUGCCGCUCAUAUUGAAAAAGAUCAAAGUCAAGCGUACAAAACCGCCAUCUCCGUUGAAAUCCGUUCCUGCAAUGAAUGCCCCCUCUGAACGUCCGACCGUGGUAAGCGCCGAUCCGGAUCAACUGCUCAGGCUAGACAACAGUACAAUUUCCAAAGACAAUAUCGUCAAACAGCUAUCGAACGGCCAUGCUCUAGUACUGCUGAAGAGGACACGCGUCAAAGGUUUUUGUGUGAGCUGUAUUCGUUCAAUGCAGGAUCCGGAGUACAAGAAGAAGUUGAACAAAAUUAUUACCUACUGCUCGGGAUGCCCCGGUGGGCAGUGGAUUUGUGAAGCGUGUUUUGAUUCCAGUCACGAUAUAAAGAACUAAAUGAAUAAAAAUUUAAAAUAUCUAGCUGCUAUCGAUAGUUAUUUCCUAUUGUGAUUCUUUUUUAUCAAUACUUUUCAAAACUAACAGAGUUCCAAUCAUUUUUAGGUAAAGCUCUGUUCCAGAUCGGCAACCGAAACUCGCUGAAGCUGUUCUACAACGGACACUUCUACACAAGGUCCUACACGGCGGAAAAAUCAAGCAAGUGGGUCUGCGACAGGAAAAACAUGCUCAAAUGCAAAGCUCGAAUACGCCUGAACCGAGACAAAACUUGUGACGUGCUGAACGCCAAUCACAACCAUCCGGCUCGAAACCCUAGAACUAUCGGAAUGCUGAUCGAUUUCACCGAUCGAGAUUUGAGCACCAUGCUCCAGAAGGAUACCGUCAAAGAAUCUCCCAAUCCCAAUCGUUGCAAAAUCACAAAAAAUAAAAUAAAAUGAAUGAUCUAUCAAUUACUUGAAUUGGACACAUUCUAUUACUUCACCUUACAAAUUGUAGCGUGACAUUUCACUAACAUCUCUCCUUGGCUUUUUGUUCCAGUGCACAAGAUCAUGAAGCUACAAAAAAGAAUCUACUACCUCAAAAAGGUUUCCGGAGAGUUUGUUCAGCAUGGAGAAAAUCCAGUUUCUUCGCAGAUUGAGUACUUACAGCGCGAUCUGGAAAUGCUUUCGGGAACUCUUCCGAAAAUGGAGAACGCUCCAGAUUGUAAACCCACUUCCGUUCCUGGAUUCGAGUUUCCUUUGACCGAGCAGGAGGAAAUUGAACGCUUGGAGGCGGAGGUACGAAAUGAUCCGUAUGUCCGGUGCCAAUAUGUGAACUAUCUUAUCAACAAAAAGCCAGCGCUGAUGAAUCUAAUACAGUUCCUACCACUGGUGUUUUCCGAUGAGGCCCUUAUUGCCUACAACUAUCAUGGUUCGCAUGCUUCCGGAAAAUCUAAGCAUUCGAUGAAGGCAUACACCAUUUUUUCGGAAUGCUUUUUGGAAGCCUUCGAAGGAGAAGGAUUGGAUAUGGACACAUUGACCAAGCAGCUGGUAAUGGCCAUCAAACAGAGCCGGAACCGUAUGCGGCAACGUACAUUCCGAGCGAAGAAGACGCUACAACGAAUCAGCAGCGACAAGGGUUCUGAGUGAUUAGUGUGGAAUGGGAUGUCUUGCUUUCAGAAUUUAAAGUACAUUCAAUAAAAAUGAGAAGAAGUGAAUGAUUAACUGCGAUGUUCUUUGACGUACUAGAAAGAAUAUUGUUGUCGGUUUAGUUUAAAAAUAAUGUUUCUUUGCUAACAAUUUGAACCAACUCUUGAUUGAACAGGAACUGUUGACGUAGCUCCAAAAAUGAUUCUGAUGAAGUUGGAAAUGGAACGUUUGGCACAGCGCAUCAACGAGGGCCCUUUGACCAUAGAUGGUGAGGACGAUUUGAGCAAUGUACGAUCACUUCGCAAGGAACUGAAACAGUUGGAUGAAGAAUAUCAAAUGCUCAACAAAGCUGCCGGUGCAAUUAAUAAGCCCAAGGUCACCGGAUUUAUGUUUCCCAUUAGUCGCGAAGAGGACAUCGAACGGCUGGAAGCUGCUGUUCGCUGCGAUAGUGACAUUCGAGCUCAAUAUGUUGAAUAUCUGAGCGUCACAAAACCGCUACGCCAGGGCGUCGGACAGGUGUUCAACAAGUACUUCACCGACGAAGCCAUGACCAACUACAACUGGCACGGUCUGGAUAGGGCACAGUAUCCACGCACGCCAAAGAAAGGCAUGCAAAAGUAUGAUAUAUUCUACGGUUGUAUGAUUGAUGCAUGGGAAAGUCACGGACUAGAUAACGAAACACUUGUCGAGCAGAUUAAGAAAGCAGUUUAUCAUAUAAAUCGACGUCGGUACACCAAAAAACAGUCCCUGAAAAAGAAGUACACGAUUGUUGAAGUACAAGAGUAGAUAUUAUAUUGGUUGAUUUUUUUAUGACGAACCUUCUCCAGCUUCUUCAUACAAGAAAUCUAUACGUUCUACGAUUGCAUUUUAUAGGUUGAACUGUAGUACUAGAUUGGCAUAUAAUUUUCAUUUAUUUUACUGCCACAUUUAUACGUGUCGUAAGGUGUAACACCGCCUAUGAAUAUCAAUAGUUGAAUAAAAUUGCAGCGAACUCUUAAACCAGCUUUGAUUUAAUAAAAUUCUAGAAAAAAUCUAUUUUUUUAUCAUUCAGCUGACCAUCUGCUAUCUGACACACUCGCAUACUUCCAGAAACAUCUCAGUCCAACCUGGCAAAGCGUAAAAAAGAGCUGUUGAGGUACCUGAAGCCGUUCAAACGACCCGAACAACCGCAGCGGAAAGUUUCGGUUGAAGGAUUUUCCUUUCCAGUGUACACCUCGGACGAGGUGGAACGACUAGAGGAAGCUGUCCGCUCCUCCAGAAAUAUACGCCGACAGUAUAUAUCCUAUCUGGCCGAGCGGAAACCUCGCCACAUGGACAUUGUGGAAUGUUUCGGAAAGUUCUUCACCGAUGAAGCGAUGGCUCCGUAUGCGUGGAAUGGCUACAAGAAUCCAAAGUUUCCACGCAAGGCAAUGAAAACUAUGGACAUCUUCUCCUACUGUAUGCUUGAGGCUUGGCACCGACAGGGAGUUACUUCGAUGGACAUCCUCUCGGACAUCAUGACUAAGGUGAUUACGAAGAUUGCCGGUCGUCGGCGGUCCAACAAUUAUAACCAACGGAAGCGCAUCCAGCAGUUUUGUGACAAACAUAAUGAAUAAAUGUUCAAUUCAUUGUUUGGGAAUUUGUGUUUUUAUUACUUGUAUAUAGACUGUGUUUAAAAUAGGGUAACAUAUUUUGCAGAUUAAAUGAAUAUCGUUUCGUUCCAGAUGUGGUAGUUAUCAAGGAGGACUUGCAAGAGGCUUCUUCCACGGGAGUGACCGGGUUUAGCUUUCCGUUGUUCUGCGAGGAAGACGUUGAUCGACUCGAGGCUGCAGUCAAGAUGGAUCCUAUGGUUCGCCGGCAAUAUAUAAGAUAUUUGAAAUCCCUAGGAGAGUACCUACCCAGCUUGUUUGCCAAGUAUGUGAGUGAACUAUUCAGUGAUCUCUCGCUAUACAACUACUGUGUUACAAUAGACGGGGAUGGACAUACUAAUAAAAAGGAUAUGAUCGGAUACGACAUUUUCACGCACUGUUUGCUUGAAGCCUGGGUGCCACAAGGUCUGACUAUUUCCAAACUGACCGAGCUAUUGAAAUCGGUGACAGUUAGCCUCAGCGAGAGACGGCAAUUGUCCAACCGGAACCGCCGAAAACGGUCGGAACUCAUUCAGAAGUGGCUCAUAAAGGAGAAUCAAAAACAGAAAUCUUAAGAAUGCAGUGAUAAAUAAAACUUUCUGAAGAAAAAAGAACUACAUAUUCUAAAUUUUCAUUCUCUCUAACAUGCAGUACUAGAAAGCUGUAUCAGAAACCUAGUAACGCAAAUAAUUUUAACGUUACAGUGAAAGGUCCACCCACUGGAGCUACGUCUCAUAAGGAUUUUGAACAAUUGAAGCUAGAACUGGCGCAACUGGAUGUCCUUUUUAGCCAACGCCGGGAGACGAAACAAAACGUAAGUGGACGGUCGAUGGUCAAUGGUUUUGUGUUUCCACUAACAACGGAAGUCGAUGUGGAAAGGCUGGAAGCGGCAGUGCAUUCGAACGCCACCGUAAGGGGGCAAUAUAUUCAACUGUUGAAAGCCAAAAAACCGAAACAUAUCGAUCUGGUGGAUUGUUUCCCAAUGCUUUUUGGUUCAAGCUCUGUGGAAGCCUAUACCUGGAAUGGAUGUCGGAUAUCAAAAUUUCCAAAGAAAGCGAUGAAAAAUUACUCUAUUUUCAACGGAUGCAUGCUAGGUAAAGUUGUUGAAGUGUUUUAUGAUACAUCAUUUUCGAUUUACUGACAAAGCAUCGAAAGACAGAACGUCGAUUUUCAAAUCAUCCGAAUGGCCUCCAUGUAGAUGGAACAAUGCGUGAAACUAUUGACGUACUAGCUCAUUAUGUCGCUUCAAUG